rnacentral:rRNA from 1 species
UACGUAGGGUGCGAGCGUUAAUCGGAUUUACUGGGCGUAAAGCGUGCGCAGGCGGCCCGUUAAGACAGGUGUGAAAUCCCUGGGCUCAACCUAGGAAUUGCGCUUGUGACUGGCGGGCUCGAGUACGGUAGAGGGGGGUGGAAUUCCUGGUGUAGCAGUGAAAUGCGUAGAUAUCAGGAGGAACACCGAUGGCGAAGGCAGCCCCCUGGGCCUGUACUGACGCUCAUGCACGAAAGCGUGGGGAGCAAACAGG